ACAAAUCGUCACUGCUCCAAUCGUUUAUUUGUUUGCAAGAAAAUUGUCGAGAAAAAAAAAAUCAACCUGCUUUUCUACAAGCUAAUUUGGCACCAUUCCCAGAAUGCCAAUACGCUCUUCUAGCUGGGUUCGCGUCAUCCGCCUGACCGCCUCAUAACAGAAGCUGAAUCUCGUUCGUCUGGCGCGUAAAUAAAAGUGAAACAUUUUCUCGCAAAACCCCGUUCAAGUUCAAGGUUAUUCGACCACGUUGGCCCUUAAUCGUUCAUCACGUUCGUGUGAAGGCGGAAAUAACGGCUUUUAAAAACAUUUACAAGUGGAAACACUUUUCAGCACUCCUGUGAACAUCCCACGCGGACAAAUGAGCUAAUCAGCGGCAACGAGUCUUUAAACGGAGUCGGACAACGGACAGCUAACUGAUUGGCGGCUGUCGUUACACAUAUUUUCUGUCGUCGUUUUAAGAAGAAAUUUCCGUUGAGCACAAAACAUGGACACAAACUGUUGUUGUUUGAUGUGUGUGCACUUUUUUUUGUCUGAUUUUCUCUAUUGACUAUUUUUAAAACCUUUUUUUUGUGCUCUCUCGUUUGAGCUUGUUUUGGGUUUCACACGAUUCACAGCCGAGCACGGUGAGCUGAGCUGUGAACGACUAUAUAAUUUAUAUCGAAUUUGUAUAUUGCGUGAAGCUUUUUUCUUUACUACUGUAUUUGUCACGAAAGAACGGGACGUGGUGAAAUAGAGAGAAGAGAUAGUCAACCUGGUCCGGAUGGGAAAUGAUCGUGGCGCAGUUGAGAUCAGGACGUUGGCUCGAGAGGAUCAAAGAUUUUUAAAAAGUUCAAAAGUGUUCUAACCAAGUGAUUAAAUAUGGGUAAAGGCAAAGGUGGUGGCGGAGGUGGUGCCGGUGGAAACGCAGCUGCUGCUGCCGGAGGCAAUCAAAAAGGCGGCGCAGCCAAAUCGAAAGGUGGAAAUGACAAUAAAGGUGCUGCUGGAGGUAAGGGAGCAGGAGACAAGGGAGGAAAAAAGGGUGGCAAUAAGAAGUAGCGACGGCAGCGUCGUCAGCUUCAAUCCCUUCCCCGGCCAACACCCGCAGCUGACCGCGUUCCGGAAGCGGUAGACUGGACAACCUGAUGGACACUUUGAAGUCUGUGAAAAACAAAAAAACAAAAUUGUGCUAAAUUUAUAACUCUCUAAACUUGCAAGUAUUUAUUUUGUUUCUUCUCUAUUUGUUUAUUUUUAACGUUAAGAUAUUGUAAAUAAGACUUAAGACGCAUUAAAAUUAGGUGACCUUAAUAAAGACGCAAAAAACGGUGCAACGGUUAAUAUUAGAUCGG